UAACUUGAGAGUUUGAUCCUGGCUCAGAACGAACGCUGGCGGCAGGCCUCAAACAUGCAAGUCUAGCGGGCGUAGCAAUACGUCAGCGGCGGACGGGUGCGUAACACGUGGGAAUGUACCUAUUGGUUCGGAACAACGCAGGGAAACUUGCGCUAAUACCGGAUGUGCCCGAAAGGGGAAAGAUUCAUCGCCAAUAGAUCAGCCCGCGCAGGAUUAGCUAGUUGGUAGGGUAACGGCCUACCAAGGCGACGAUCCUUAGCUGUUCUGAGAGGAAGAUCAGCCACACUGGGACUGAGACACGGCCCAGACUCCUACGGGAGGCAGCAGUUGGGAAUCUUGGACAAUGGGGGAAACCCUGAUCCAGCCAUGCCGCGUGAGUGAUGAAGGCCUUAGGGUUGUAAAGCU
rnacentral:rRNA from 1 species